rnacentral:rRNA from 1 species
AUUGAACGCUGGCGGCAUGCUUUACACAUGCAAGUCGAACGGUAACAGGUUAAGCUGACGAGUGGCGAACGGGUGAGUAAUGCAUCGGGACGUGCCCGAUCGUGGGGGAUAACGCAGCGAAAGCUGCGCUAAUACCGCAUACGAUCUGAGGAUGAAAGCGGGGGACCGUAAGGCCUCGCGCGAUCGGAGCGGCCGAUGUCAGAUUAGGUAGUUGGUGGGGUAAAGGCCCACCAAGCCGACGAUCUGUAGCUGGUCUGAGAGGACGACCAGCCACACUGGGACUGAGACACGGCCCAGACUCCUACGGGAGGCAGCAGUGGGGAAUUUUGGACAAUGGGCGAAAGCCUGAUCCAGCAAUGCCGCGUGCAGGAAGAAGGCCUUCGGGUUGUAGAGCUCUUUUGUCAGGGAAGAAACAGCAGCUCUAACACAGUUUGCGAAUGACGGUACCUGAAGAAUAAGCACCGGCUAACUACGUGCCAGCCGCCGCAGUAA